UACAACAUAGCCCUAACGCAUUAGAUCCCAUUAGAACUUUGCAGUUAAGAGCACUUAGGAUAGAGUAGUACUAGGAUGGGUGACCGUCCGGGAAUUCCUAGUGUUUUAC
rnacentral:rRNA from 1 species